rnacentral:rRNA from 1 species
GCAGCACGGAGCUUGCUCUGGUGGCGAGUGGCGAACGGGUGAGUAAUGCGUCGGAACGUAUCCAAUAAUGGGGGAUAACGCAGCGAAAGCUGUGCUAAUACCGCAUACGCCCUCCGGGGGAAGGCAGGGGAUCUUCGGACCUUGCGUUAAUGGAGCGGCCGACGUCUGAUUAGCUAGUUGGUAGGGUAAAGGCCUACCAAGGCGACGAUCAGUAGCUGGUCUGAGAGGAUGAUCAGCCACACUGGGACUGAGACACGGCCCAGACUCCUACGGGAGGCAGCAGUGGGGAAUUUUGGACAAUGGGCGCAAGCCUGAUCCAGCCAUUCCGCGUGAGUGAAGAAGGCCUUCGGGUUGUAAAGCUCUUUCAGGAGGGAAGAAACGAUUGUGGCUAAUACCCAUGAUUAAUGACGGUACCUUCAGAAGAAGCACCGGCUAACUACGUGCCAGCAGCCGCGGUAAUACGUAGGGUGCGAGCGUUAAUCGGAAUUACUGGGCGUAAAGCGUGCGCAGGCGGUUUUUCAAGUCUGAUGUGAAAUCCCCGGGCUUAACCUGGGAACUGCGUUGGAAACUGAAAGACUAGAGUGCGGCAGAGGGGGGUAGAAUUCCACGUGUAGCAGUGAAAUGCGUAGAUAUGUGGAGGAAUACCGAUGGCGAAGGCAGCCCCCUGGGUCGACACUGACGCUCAUGCACGAAAGCGUGGGUAGCAAACAGGAUUAGAUACCCUGGUAGUCCACGCCCUAAACGAUGUCAACUAGUUGUUGGGGAGGGAGACCUCCUUAGUAACGCAGCUAACGCGUGAAGUUGACCGCCUGGGGAGUACGGUCGCAAGAUUAAAACUCAAAGGAAUUGACGGGGGCCCGCACAAGCGGUGGAUUAUGUGGAUUAAUUCGAUGCAACGCGAAAAANCUUANCUACCCU